rnacentral:lncRNA from 1 species
UUUUAACAAGAACCAAUAUAUAUAGUUCCAUUAUAUUUCUACAUCACUUGAACCAAAACCUCAAUUAUGAAGUUCACUUCUCUCUUUGCUUUGAUACUCAUUGAAAUCCUUUUGUGCUCCUCUUUUUGUCUCUGCCAUGAAGUAAAGAUCUUUCAAGGAAGAGAAAGAAGGAGCCUGUCAAGAAGGCUUCUGUCAAUUCCAGUGGUUUCUGUUUCUCCAAGCAGUGGAGCCAUGAAAGAGCCCAAGAAAGCUGUGGAGUCUAGUAUGAGGAGAAAGCCACCCAGUGGCUCAAAUCCUAUCCAGAACAAGUAGUUACCAUCAAAUGCAUAUCCAAGAGAUCUCAAUGGAUCGGUUCAUAUCAUUUUUAUAUAUGUUUUAUUUAGUUUUUUUCUUGUUAUUUUCAUGGUACUCUCCCACUUUUUGGAAAUUUAUGUUUACUGUGUUGUUAUGAAGUUUUGAUUUAGUAUGUAGGUAGCUAGGAAGCUUAUUAGAGAGUGAGAGAUGUGUAAGAACUUGUAUUAUAUAUAUAAACAUUGAAUUAAUUACAUAAUUAGUGAAGGGUUUUGCUUAUAGAUCACUCAUUUGAUGCAUAUAUUUUUUUUAUAUAUAGUAGCAAAUGAUAACAAGUUUUCCUUUCC